UAACCUUUGGUGUCUUUGCAUACAGUC
rnacentral:piRNA from 1 species